GCAGCAUGUGGCGCGGCGUGCUGACGACCUCGCCGUCGAGGCGGAUCUCGCCGGCCGCCAGCCGUUCGAAGCCGGCGAUGCAGCGC
rnacentral:tRNA from 1 species